CAGGAAGAGCAGGAUCCCAGGGGAAAACCUGCUCAUAGCGGGAUUCUUUAUAGAUGAUUAUCCUCGUGUAAGACUGCGGCCAUGUAGCCGUGGUUCUGGUGAACGUCGCGGUUUGAUAUUGGACAUUCAACAGACAUUCAGAGCUUGUUCCUGUGCUGUGAUCUGAACUGAAAAGGACCGAUGAAACCAAGGAAAGUGAACCAACGCAUGGGAAGGAAAUAAACCACAACUUUUCCUGGAAUGAUACAGUAAAUGUUUAACUGUUGUUCAUUUAUUUAAUAGCAAAAUGCUUGUUAAAACAAUGAACACCUUUUUUUUCCCAAAGGCCACUAAUGUAGAUUUAGGCAGCUGCAAAGAUACGUGACAUCAAUACAAAGUCAAAGAACAUGCAUGAAAAGAUUUUGUGACAUAAGGUUUUUUAUAAACAUGGACGACACAGACUAUAGAGAAACGAUCAGCUGCAUAAAUCUGACAUACAAACCAAAAAGAAGUACAAGUGAAACAGAUGCUUGUCUGAGUGCGGCUUCUGGUUAUAAGCGUACUUACUAAGAAGUAAACAAAGUUUAGUUGUAGAGUCAGUGAUUCAUCAGGUUUUUACCUUUGAAAAGAAAAAAUAGUUUUUUUUUACAGCCACAGCCCCAUUUUGUGCAUAGGUUAGUGAAUGUGCAUUAUUAUUAUUAUUAUGGAACUUGGUGUCAUUCUGCUUUUAAAGGAAAAAUACUGAAUCUGUGCAGUUGUAUUAAAGCAAACUAAAUAGUCACAAACUUAAAUAAAACUACUAAAUUUGUAUUUGAAUAAAUCGACUAUUGGCUGCAUUUAUAAAUUAAAAUCUCACCUGGUAA